UACGUAGGGUGCGAGCGUUAAUCGGAUUCACUGGGCGUAAAGGGUGCGCAGGUGGGUUGGCAAGUUUGAUGUGAAAGCCCCGGGCUUAACCCGGGAAUGGCAUUGAAUACUGCUGAUCUGGAGGAUCGGAGGGGGGACUGGAAUUCUUGGUGUAGCAGUGAAAUGCGUAGAUAUCAAGAGGAACACCAGUGGCGAAGGCGAGUCCCUGGACGAUACCUGACACUGAGGCACGAAAGCCAAGGGAGCAAACAGG
rnacentral:rRNA from 1 species